GAUGAACGCUGGCGGCGUGCCUAAUACAUGCCAGUCGAGCGAACGGACGAGAAGCUUGCUUUUCUGAUGUUAGCGGCGGACGGGUGAGUAACACGUGGAUAACCUACCGAUAAGACUGGGAUAACUUCGGGAAACCGGAGCUAAUACCGGAUAAUAUUUUGAACCGCAUGGUUCAAAAGUGAAAGACGGUCUUGCUGUCACUUAUAGAUGGAUCCGCGCUGCAUUAGCUAGUUGGUAAGGUAACGGCUUACCAAGGCAACGAUGCAUAGCCGACCUGAGAGGGUGAUCGGCCACACUGGAACUGAGACACGGUCCAGACUCCUACGGGAGGCAGCAGUAGGGAAUCUUCCGCAAUGGGCGAAAGCCUGAUGGAGCAACGCCGCGUGAGUGAUGAAGGUCUUCGGAUCGUAAAACUCUGUUAUUAGGGAAGAACAUAUGUGUAAGUAACUGUGCACAUCUUGACGGUACCUAAUCAGAAAGCCACGGCUAACUACGUG
rnacentral:rRNA from 1 species